CUGGCACCCAGACCACUUCAUUAAGCUGAAGUGGUCUGGGUGCCUAGAGUGGACCUUUAAGCCUCAUUAGUUGUAAAACCAAAGAAUGUCCACUUUAACUUAAAGCUGACAGACCUCAUAUAAAACAUGCAAAUAAGAUAUAUUAAAUAUAAACCAUCUAAAUUAAGGUUUGUGUUAUUAUAUGUAACUUAACAUAUCUGUGAAAAACACUCCCAACGGCAUGCUCUGUCUUACGCAUCUCAUCAUUAAUGGAACUUUGUCAGACUGUCUGCCAAUUGAUCAGGCAGACUUGUCCCAUUCCCAGCUGGACCUAUUCCAUUACCACAGCACCAGUGAUGCGAUUUUCGGCACUGGCCCUCCCAUAUUUACAUACACGCAGGUCUGCUUGCAGGGACAAGGUAGUCCCAAGGUAGGAAAUAUGUAGGAGGCAGUGUCUCUAGACAAAUUCAAAUUAUUAUUAUUUAUAUAGCGCCAACAAAUUCCACAGUGCUGUACAAUGGGUGGACUAACAAACAUGUAAUUGUAACCAGACAAGUUGGAUGCACAGACACAGAGGGAUUGAGGGCCCUGUUCAAUGGGCUUAUAUGCAAGAGGGAAUGGGGUAAAGUGACAAAAAAAUUAAGGAUAGUAUUAGAGAAGUAAUGACAGUUGUAGGAGAGAAAUUGGAUGGGAACUAUUAACAGUUUAAUUGAAGUUAGUUUUUAAUGAUUUUUUGAAGGAGUGGAGACUGGAUGAGUGUCUAACGGAGAAGGGAGUUCCACGGGAACAGUGCAGCCGUAGAGAAGUUUUGAAGGCGAGCAGAGGUAGGAGUACGAACAGGAGAUAGAUGUUUGUCUUCUGUAGAGCGUAGGGGCAUAGACGUCACAUACUUGUGUAUUAGGGAGGAUAGAUAGGUGGGAGCAGCAUUAUGUAGAGAUUUGAAAGCAGGAACCAGAAUUUUAAAUUGAGCCCUAUAUCUUACUGGAAGCCAAUGUAGGGACUGACAGAAGGUUGAGGCGUGGGAAGUGCGGGCAGACAGAAAGAUAAGCCUUGCCGCCGCAUUCAUUAUAGACUUAACGGCAGGAUUUGAUGAUAGACUGAACAUGAGGCGUGAAGAAGAGGUCGGAGUCAAAGAGAACACCUAGGCAGCGAGCCUGCAUGGUGGAGCUGAUGGUAGCGCCGUUGACUUGGAGGGAGUUGCUACAGAGAAACCUUACUGUGAAAAAACUGCAAUUCUGCCACAUUCACCCCAAUUUCUCAAGUAAGAGCUAAAGUCACACUCCCCGGUUGUCCCCUGUCCUUCACCAGGCACAGCCCCAAAGAGCUCUCUCAAUCCAACCCACCUGGUGACCAAGCCUCACAGGGAAAGCCUCAAGUCUCCUAGCAGUCACUCUGGCUGGCUGCAUGGAACUCUCCAUCGGAUCAGAAAUCAGCCGUGGCCGGCUAAAACCAGGUGGUGAUUCAACACAAUGAGUGUGACAAAAGCGCUCUUUUGACCAAUGGAGGCAGAGGGCGAGAGACAUGUGAGAGUUAUUUGUGUCAUUUCAUAUGUAUUAAGGUAUACUGUAAUGCCACCCUGAUGCCUGGGGGAUAUUUAGGUUAUCAGUUUCUGAUUUGGUUCUUUCCCAAACUCAGAGGUGACAGAGUGGGAUUUACAUUGUUCAAGCCAAGAAACCCAUGUUGGGGUUGUGUAUAUAAAAGUAUGCUAUAAAGACAGAUCUUUUUCACCCUUCACUAAGUUUCGGCUAGUGUUUGGGUGAGACAACUUUAACAGCUAUAAUCACUCCAAGUAUCCAGCACUCAAAGAGAGUGAUCCUUGACAGAGACACUCAAGUUAAGUGCUGAGCUCAGUUAUACUGACACUUUUUGAGACUCUCUGCGAAAGAUCUCCGAUGACACAUAUCCACUAUCUGUCAGUCAAACAUGUAAGUAAAUGGGAAACUGAACUGGAAAAGAUAUUAACUAGCAUACAAUGGCCUAAGAUACAAAUCAACACAUAUAAAGCUUCCAUUAAUUCAUCUAUGCAAGAAACUAUAAACAGUUAACAAGAUGAUAUUGAACGCCACAAGAUCUCUAGAGAACUGAUGAAGACUAGCCGAUUUCCACAACACCGACCUAUUGCACAUAGCUUGAAUUCGUUACCACAUGGAAAAACGCAAAUGUGCCUCAAACUGUCCACCAAGUGAAAUGCUAACAUCAAAAACUGGAACAGCGCAACUCUGCGCAUGCUUCCUUUAAUUAUUUCACCACUACCUACCUUUCUGAUUAUUAUAUGUGAACAAAAAUUCAUCGGAAAAGCACAGAUGACUACUUUUAGCUGAACUGUUGUUGCUUGUAGCCAUGACAAGUGCACUUUAAAGAUUUAUAUAUUUUCCCAGAAAGAUGGAAAUGAUGAACAUUGAAAGUUGUCCAGUAAAAUAUGGUUUCCUUGCAUUAUUUGAUGUGCACGGUGUCAUUUGAACAGAAAGAAAAGAAAAAAUGUCCUGUAGGCUUUACAAAAACACUUUUAAAAAGACCAAUUUCAAAAGUAUAGAGGCAUUUCAGUGAUGGGCAGGAAAAAAAAAACAUAGGAUAGAUGGAAUGUCUUUAAAUUAUUACUAUAAAAGUACGGAUCUAAACAUAUACCAUUUUGAACAAAUAUUUUAAAAAAGCUAAUUAAAACAAAUGUGGCUUUGAUGUUCUGUAAAGCUUGACGCUGGUGGGAGGGGUAAAAGGGGGUGUACUCUCCCAGAGAACAGACAGGUCAGUUUGGCGUGAAUCCAUGGCAGGCUGCCGGCCAAUUAUGUAAGCUGACCCACCAAGGACGAACCAUGCAGGAAGCACUAAUGUCCUGAGCUUCUAUUGUAGCUCUCAUUCUAGACUUGUUGACAACAUUUCCCUGUUGUCCCCAAAAACGGGACACCUAGAACAAAGUUGGGACAGCGGGAAAGGACCCGAAAAUUAGGUCUGUCCUGACGAUAUUGGGAUGGUUGUGAGGCUUGGUAGGGGGUCAGUCAAAUAAUACCCAAUAAAAGGGCAUUCAAAAUGGGCGGGACUGACCAGAAAAUGGUGGGUCAUCCACUGAAAUGGUGUGUCAGUCGGCAUCAAAUACAGCAGGCUGACUGCCUGUCUGGCUGACCCCCCAACCUAUAGGACUAUGCAGGGACUGCUGGAGAAGUGCCUAAACAUCUUAGUUCCCAACUCACAGCUCAUGCUGUGCUGCCUGGAAACAGUUUCCUGGUAAAUAAAUCGGGACGUUAAGAGAGGACACCGAAAUCAGGACUGCUCCACUGAAAGCAGGACAUUUGGGAGGGCCUGCAUUUGCUACACAUUCUAAGUUUAACAUAAAUGCCAUUAUAAUUUUGUCUAAGAAAAAAAUAACUUGGCAGUUAAAUAGGGAAUAUUCUUUUCAAUUAAAAUUUUACGUGAAAGGGAAAAAGCAAACACAUUCCUGUAAUUACUAAAUUAAACUGGAUUUAAUCAUGUCAGGAUAUUCCCAGCUUGUCUAUUCUGAGUCAGUAUGACGUUGUAUUAUAAAGAAUGUUUGUGUGUUGCUUAGGGAGUCUCUCAAACUACUGUAGUCGUCAGAGCACAGUCAUGGAAUGGAAAUCGCUAUUGCCUGCAGCAGUUUCAGGAGGUUUUGCAACGUUGCAGAAGAUCCUCAAAGAAUCCAGAAGAUCCUCAAAGAAUCCCUUGAACUUUGGGAACAAAACAAAAUAAAAGCACUAACAAAACGUGUAAAGAAGUUGAAAUUCAAAUGUAAUAAUCCAGUUCAAUAAACACAUUCUUGUUGAUUAAUUAAUGAUUCUCUGCUUCCAAAAAUAGAACAUACUUAUUCUAGAGGCCAGACCACAAACAGAGAUUAAAGGAACACUCUAGGACUGAGAAUGCAAAUAUGCAUAAUGCUAGAGUGUUACACUAACUAGAUAGAUUAAACCCCCUUCUCCAUGGAAAGUAAUAAAAAAAAAAGUCUUACUCAUGUCUUCUCGAAGCCAUCCCCCAACCCUAACUGAGUUCAUCAUUACUAAUAACCUGAGCCAGUCCAAUGCUACCCAGUGGGAAGGCAAUGGGGGCUAGUGUGCUAGUGCUGCACUGCACCAAUCAACAUUUUCUCAUAGAUGUGCAUUGACUCAAGGUAAUCUGUAUGGAGAGUGUGCAGAGUCUCCAUGCAGAGUGUGAAGACACUGAAUGUUGGUCCUGCUAUCCAGAAAGUCCCUUUAGUGGUUAUCUGAGUGAUAGCUACUAGCAGCAAUGUGAACACUACUAGGCAUGCAGGGAUAAUCUGUUUGCCCAAGAACCUCUACAUUAAGAUGUAGCGGUUCCAGUGCUUUGAGUGUCCUUUUAAUUGGCUUUCAUAUGAUACUGUCAGGGUACCUUAUGUGUUGGCACAAGCUAUGCCACACACUCAUUUUUCCAGCAGUUCUCGCGCCGGCCACAAUAGCCUCGCCCCUUUUUAUGAUGCGGAGUGUGCGUGUCGAUGUCAUGACGCUAAUAACAUCACGACCUGCCAAAAUGUUCGACCGUUUUGGGGGCAUAGCAACAAAUUUAAGGAACUCAGUUUAUAAGGGGAGUUCAGGACAUGUCUCAUUGCACUGUUGGGGUUCUGUAUACUCCCAAUAGCACAUUAUAUUUGUGUAUAUCUCUUGGUUCUGACUUUGGCUACGUUUGACUAGUCUACCUUCUGUAUUCCUUUGACUCGGCUAUUGUACUCUCGCUGUUCCUGAUUUCUGGCUCCCCUGAACUUGGCUUAUUCCUGAUUACUCUCUGUCCUUGUGAUGUUAGCCUGGCCAUGCUAAGGUCCUGUCUACGUUACUAUUCUACUACACUCUGAGUGUUGGAUCCCCAUAUAUUCCUGAUAGAUACCCAUUAUCAUAACAAUGGGGUUGGUCCGACCAAGUGACAGACCGGAAGGGGAUGAACAGAGUAGCCCCUCACACCUGUCACUCUUUGUCAGGUGGUCUCAUGGGACCACAGUAGAGUCUCAUCAUUAUCUUCUUCGAAUACUUCUUGAUACAUUAAAGGGUUACUCUAAGCUAACCAACUUUAGCUUAAAGGAACACUAUAAGGUCAGAAACACAAACAUAUAUUCCUGAUCCUAUAGUAUUACAAUCAUCAUCUAGCCCCCUAAAUAUAGUAAACACUUACUUUUGUUCAAGUCUGCAGCUGCUGGCUCUGUCCCUGAUCUGCCUGCUUGGCUGACAUUAUCAGAAGUGUUGUUCUGAGCCAAUCAGGAUAGGAUUGCCUGAGAUUGUCAAGGAGGCAGAUCAGGGACAGAGCCAGCACAAGUCAAACACAGCCCUGGCCAAUCAGCAUCUCCUCAUAGAGAUGUAUUGAAUCAAUGUAUAUCUAUGAGGAAUGUGACAGAAUACCCAUACCAUACCAAAAACAUCUCCUUCAUACUUGCCACUUGUUUUAUUCCCCACAUUGCCAUCAAAAGAUUAUUGUCACUACCCCUGGCUCACAGCACCUUCCCCUCAAGGCCAAUGGACUAAAAGUACUCUUUCCUCAAACUAUAACCGGAGUCCAGAAGCCACAAAGACUUCAGUGGGACUUAUGCACAACUCUUCUGGAACUCCGCUCCGGCCACGGUUAGCCUAAUUCCCGGCUAACUUCCAUCCCGGUUUGUCCCCACGUUCCUUGCAACCACGAGGGUGAUUUUUGGAGGGAAAGUGCCUCAGACUAUGGACUACAAUCACUCACUGGGAACCAGGGGGAGCGAACCUUACUUCGUCCACAGGAACUCCCAACAUUUGACUGGUUGCGGCCUUAAUUGUUAUGGAACUCUUUUGGGCAUGGACCACGUGUGCAGUCUGUCAAAACUUUACCCUAGUGGCGUUUUGUCAUCUCUUAUUUGCCCAACAUAGGCGCUUGGAUCCGGACAAUCCGGGGAUAUAUACUGUGUGGGGGUUCCUGUAUGUUUUAUUAUGUUUUUUUGUUGUGUUCUAUGUGUAUCCGGGAAAUAAUAAGUUUAACGAGCAGCAACUCAAUUAUCUCCCAGACACAGAGGCACGAGGGCGGGUCAUUGUCCCUGUGAAUAGGGAUCUCAUGCUGGAGGUCCGUGUAUAAAUGAUUGUGCUGAGCUUAAUAAAAUCAGUUCUUCUCUCAGCAGUAAGUCUCCACUAAUGUAUGGGGGGAAAAGGCUAUAACAUUGCUUUACUCUAC
rnacentral:lncRNA from 1 species